CCCGGCUCUUCCCGCAGCCGGACCCGCUCCACGCCUCGUAACGCGGCCGUUCACUCUGACGCACGUCUGUCCGAGCUCACGGCUGUCGGCCCGUCUCACGUCCUCUCCCCGUCGUUCCCGUACCCAGAGCGCUGCUCUCGGUUAGAACCGAACCGAUGCUGUUGCGGUCCCGGCCCCGCGCGCUCCGUGUGCAGAACGCGACGCUCCCCGCACCGCCCGGGGCCGGCAGCAACGGGAGAUAACGGGAGAGCAACGCGGCGUGCGGGGACGGCCGGAGAUUCAGAGCUGUUCGGGAGAAACCCCCGUUCUCUAUUUAACGUGGCACGGUUACCAGUAACUAAGAUUAUUCAACAACAGAAGAGAUUUCUUGGAAAACACAUAUAUCAAAGGAGGAGAGACAUUUCUAAAGUGCCCCUUGUUAUACAGUACCGAACAUUUCUAAGAGCAUCAGCACAAAUCUGCAGUUUCUGAGCAGAAAUGGCAGCCGUGGGGGAAGGGCUGCGCCUCGUCGUGUCCCCACAGAACAGAAGUUGGCCAGCUUUAAAACAGAGCAAAACAAAGGAAGGCUUCUCGCAGCCACGGAGAAGGCAAAGAAGAGCAGCGCCGGCCGCGACAUCAGCACGAGAGAGAGACUUGGUGCGGGAAAAGGAGAGAGCGCAGCAGAGCAGAGCAAAGGGACACGGCACGGCGGGGGGAGGGAGGAAGGCAGCGGGACCACGGGGUAAAGGCCGUUCAUAACCCACCAGAAAGCUCAUCUGUCCGAAUCAAAGAGAACAGGAACCCUUCUCUCAAUCUACACAAUUUAGUAUGGCUGUGCCACUGCCAGUGAGCACAUCAGCUCCCUGCAACAAGAAGCCGAUGGAAUUAAGGUGGGAGUGAAGGUUUUCAAUACAAGAAGUAAGCCGUCAUGCAGAACUGCAUGUAACAAGAGCAGGAAUUCUCCUGUGCGUGCUGCUCCUGUGCCUCCCUGCCAACACCUGCAGAAUGGGAUCCACCUCCAGGCACUGAAGAGGCUUCUCCUGGUUCUCCUUUGCUGUUGUGCUCACAGCAGCCACGCGCUGCUGAGUUCCCAAUCUGGGCUUUUCCUCCUUCAAAAGCUCAGCCACUGUUGGCCAGCAAUGAAGCUUCCUACCUCCAUUCUGUUGCUUUGCAUGGCUCUGAGAGUUGGAACUGCAAAGAAUGGCAGAGGCUGCUUCCUCCUCCUCCAAACAGCUGCAGAAGACAAAGCCAUGCCCAAGAAAGGAGACAACCCUGUUACAAGUGUUCAUUUUCCAGUAUUCUCUGUGAAGAGACUGUCCGGUAUCUAACGACCACCUCUAGAAAUACCAGCGGAAGGUCCAACCAACACACAGAACACGGCUCUCUUGGCCAAGCACCUGAAUGUACAAGGCAGACAGGAAAGACAUGGUGACUCAUUUCCAUGCAGCAUUAAUGGUGCUCUGGAAGCGAGAAAGAACAACCUAUUGAAACAUGAUUGAGAUAAGGAAAUCAUAAAGAUUCAGUCCUUCUGCCGUAGGAACUGUGCUAACAGCACAGAGAAGAGCUUCCUUGACUUGAGGAUGCAAGAAAACAAACAAAAAACCAACAGUAUUAACUACUGAGCAACUCAGGGCUUAAUAAAUACAGAUUUGAUGCAAUUCUCAGCCACAUCUACUCAGAAGGCACAACCACACUUAUUUCUGUACGUAGUAAUGCCAGCUGCCUCCAGCAGUUUCAGCGAUAGCACGGGCAGUACAGAACUGACAAGAUUUUUUCAUCAUACCCCUGCCACCAGGUACAGCACCCACAGCCAGGCCAAAGUCCUGCUGGAGCCUACAGGCGUGCUGGGCACUACAGACCAAGUUUUCCUAUGGAAGAUCUCAGCACAGAACAGUUGGCUGGCUGGCACACUGAAGCAGUCUCAUGCUGCUGAAGCCUGUCUUAUCUCCUCCUCUGAAUGGGUGUCAUUUCCAACGCGGGUUGGAUGCUGGCAGGGAGCGUCCCCUCAUGCUGCCUCAAGAACGUCCACUGGCUACAGUGGGGAUUGUACCUGCAUUGAGGACUGCAGGGCUUUUGUUUUUAGAAAGAGGAAGAUGGAGAAGAGAUCAUUAAGAGUAGUACUACAUGCAAAAUGGUGCAAGGAACAUAAAGAUCUUUACCAGUAGUGCUAUAGACUAAAUGUUGCUCAGAGCAGAAUAUGCAGACAGCAAUAAAACACAUCCAAAGCCAACUCCCCAGCAGGGACCAGCACACAGUCAGUACCUCCCACCUCGUGAUUCAGUGGGAGUUUGUCAUUAACUGCAACAAGAUCUGACUUCACUACCAGAAGAGAUGGAACAAGAUUGUUACUUAAGAUGUGGAGUUGCUUUGGUGCGUGUCCCACUGCAGUCUGUAAGACAUACCAUCAGGUGAGCACCAUCAGUGCUCACACUGUUCUCCUACAAAAGACUACAUUUUUUUCCCCAAAAAAGAUAAGGUAUAAAAACUGCUUGCACUUUGGAAGAUAACACAUGCACGUUUAUCACUUCUCUAAUCCUGUGACUUCCACACUAAAACGUGGUCUGUUCAGGAACAAACUAACAAAGAAAAGCAAACCAUGCAGCAGAUCAACUUGAUUUCUAUUGGUCUUCUUGCCCCAAGUUCCACUGUUAUCAGGCCACAUAAAAGCACUGUAAGUCGCCAGCACAAAGUAUCUGCUUUUGCAAGAACAAAAAACAACCCAGAAAAAUCUAAGGCGUGGGACUGGCACGAGGGAUCCUGAAACAGUUCUGCAAAAUCAAUUAUUGCAUCAGCAAAACCAAACCAAACAAUAAACCCCCCCCAAAGCAUCCAAACAGAACACUGUCAUCCAUUAAAAUAACAAAAAACAAUA